AGAUUAAGUUAUUAAGGGCGCACGGUGGAUGCCUUGGCACUAGAAGCCGAUGAAGGACGUUACUAACGACGAUAUGCUUUGGGGAGCUGUAAGUAAGCUUUGAUCCAGAGAUUUCCGAAUGGGGAAACCCAGCAUGAGUUAUGUCAUGUUAUCGAUAUGUGAAUACAUAGCAUAUCAGAAGGCACACCCGGAGAACUGAAACAUCUUAGUACCCGGAGGAAGAGAAAGAAAAUUCGAUUCCCUUAGUAGCGGCGAGCGAAACGGGAAGAGCCCAAACCAACAAGCUUGCUUGUUGGGGUUGUAGGACACUCUAUACGGAGUUACAAAGGACGACAUUAGACGAAUCAUCUGGAAAGAUGAAUCAAAGAAGGUAAUAAUCCUGUAGUCGAAAAUGUUGUCUCUCUUGAGUGGAUCCUGAGUACGACGGAGCACGUGAAAUUCCGUCGGAAUCUGGGAGGACCAUCUCCUAAGGCUAAAUACUCUCUAGUGACCGAUAGUGAACCAGUACCGUGAGGGAAAGGUGAAAAGCACCCCGGAAGGGGAGUGAAAUAGAACCUGAAACCGUGUGCUUACAAGUAGACAGAGCCCGUUAAUGGGUGAUGGCGUGCCUUUUGUAGAAUGAACCGGCGAGUUACGAUUUGAUGCAAGGGUAAGCAGUAAAUGUGGAGCCGUAGCGAAAGCGAGUCUGAAUAGGGCGUUUAGUAUUUGGUCGUAGACCCGAAGCCAGGUGAUCUGCCCUUGGUCAGGUUGAAGUGCAGGUAACGCUGAAUGGGGGACCGAACCGGCUUGCGUUGAAAAGUGAGCGGAUGAACUGAGGGUGGCGGAGAAAUUCCGGUCGAGCCUGGAGAUAGCUGGUUCUCUCCGAAAUAGCU
rnacentral:rRNA from 1 species